rnacentral:lncRNA from 1 species
AACUGAAAACUGGAGCUGCCGGAAAAAACUGGAACACUGUAGCUGCCGGAAAAAGCACUGUAGCUACCGGAAAAUUCAAAGUUGUCGGAAUUGAAAAAUAAAAAUAUAGAUAGGCUCGGAAUUCGAGGGCGAUCAGACUUUCUUGAAGGAAGUUUUUGAAAUUCUGACCGGAAAAGUACUGUAGCUGCCGGAAAAAACUCAAAGUUCUCGGAAUCAAACGAAAAUAGGAUGGGUAGGGUCGGAAUUAGUAUCCGACCAAACUGUCCUGAAGGAGUCACC